CAGGGCCGGCGCUUCCUAUAGGCGACUUAUGCAGUCGCCUGGGGCACACCUUAGGAAGGAGCUCCGCCAGGAGUGCCGGCCCCACUCAUCCUGCAGCAGCCUGAGCGCUCUAUAGUGAGCACUUCCUUUCAGUUCGGCCGGGUACAGGAAACAGAAACUCCUGUACCACGGACCUGAACUCUGCCACGCUACACAGGGAGGAGAAGGGGAUGAGGAGAAUGGGGGGAG